rnacentral:rRNA from 1 species
ACUCCUACGGGAGGCAGCAGUGGGGAAUUUUCCACAAUGGGCGAAAGCCUGAUGGAGCAAUACCGCGUGAGGGAUGAAGGAUCGUGGUCUGUAAACCUCUUUUCUUAGGGAAGAAUCAAUGACGGUACCUAAGGAAUAAGCACCGGCUAACUCCGUGCCAGCAGCCGCGGUAAUAC